GUCUACGGCCAUGCCACCCUGAACAAGCCCGAUCCUGUCUGAUCUCGGAAGCUAAGCAGGGUCGGGCCUGGUUAGUACUUGGAUGGGAGACUGCCUAGGAAGACCAGGUGCUGUAGGCA
rnacentral:rRNA from 1 species